UACGAAGGGGGCGAGCGUUGUUCGGAAUCACUGGGCGUAAAGGGCGCGUAGGCGGCCCUCCUUGUCGCGUGUGAAAUCCCCGGGCUUAACCUGGGAAUGGCAUUUGGGACUGCAAGGCUCGAGUGCGGCAGAGGAGACUGGAAUUCCUGGUGUAGCGGUGAAAUGCGCAGAUAUCAGGAGGAACACCGGUGGCGAAGGCGGGUCUCUGGGCCGAUACUGACGCUGAGGAGCGAAAGCGUGGGGAGCGAACAGG
rnacentral:rRNA from 1 species